UGGGGAAUAUUGGACAAUGGGCGAAAGCCUGAUCCAGCCAUGCCGCGUGUGUGAAGAAGGUCUUCGGAUUGUAAAGCACUUUAAGUUGGGAGGAAGGGCAGUAAGCGAAUACCUUGCUGUUUUGACGUUACCGACAGAAUAAGCACCGGCUAACUCUGUGCCAGCAGCCGCGGUAAUACAGAGGGUGCAAGCGUUAAUCGGAAUUACUGGGCGUAAAGCGCGCGUAGGUGGUUCGUUAAGUUGAAUGUGAAAGCCCCGGGCUCAACCUGGGAACUGCAUCCAAAACUGGCGAGCUAGAGUAGGGCAGAGGGUGGUGGAAUUUCCUGUGUAGCGGUGAAAUGCGUAGAUAUAGGAAGGAACACAAGUGGCGAAGGCGACCACCAGGGCUCAUACUGACACUGAGGUGCGAAAGCGUGGGGAGCAAACAGG
rnacentral:rRNA from 1 species